rnacentral:rRNA from 1 species
UGCAAGUCGAGCGGUAGAGAGAAGCUUGCUUCUCUUGAGAGCGGCGGACGGGUGAGUAAAGCCUAGGAAUCUGCCUGGUAGUGGGGGAUAACGUUCGGAAACGGACGCUAAUACCGCAUACGUCCUACGGGAGAAAGCAGGGGACCUUCGGGCCUUGCGCUAUCAGAUGAGCCUAGGUCGGAUUAGCUAGUUGGUGAGGUAAUGGCUCACCAAGGCGACGAUCCGUAACUGGUCUGAGAGGAUGAUCAGUCACACUGGAACUGAGACACGGUCCAGACUCCUACGGGAGGCAGCAGUGGGGAAUAUUGGACAAUGGGCGAAAGCCUGAUCCAGCCAUGCCGCGUGUGUGAAGAAGGUCUUCGGAUUGUAAAGCACUUUAAGUUGGGAGGAAGGGCAUUAACCUAAUACGUUAGUGUUUUGACGUUACCGACAGAAUAAGCACCGGCUAACUCUGUGCCAGCAGCCGCGGUAAUACAGAGGGUGCAAGCGUUAAUCGGAAUUACUGGGCGUAAAGCGCGCGUAGGUGGUUUGUUAAGUUGGAUGUGAAAUCCCCGGGCUCAACCUGGGAACUGCAUUCAAAACUGACUGACUAGAGUAUGGUAGAGGGUGGUGGAAUUUCCUGUGUAGCGGUGAAAUGCGUAGAUAUAGGAAGGAACACCAGUGGCGAAGGCGACCACCUGGACUAAUACUGACACUGAGGUGCGAAAGCGUGGGGAGCAAACAGGAUUAGAUACCCUGGUAGUCCACGCCGUAAACGAUGUCAACUAGCCGUUGGGAGCCUUGAGCUCUUAGUGGCGCAGCUAACGCAUUAAGUUGACCGCCUGGGGAGUACGGCCGCAAGGUUAAAACUCAAAUGAAUUGACGGGGGCCCGCACAAGCGGUGGACAUGUGGUUUAAU